rnacentral:rRNA from 1 species
UGAUCAUGGCUCAGAUUGAACGCUGGCGGCAGGCCUAACACAUGCAAGUCGAGCGGUAACAGGGGAAGCUUGCUUCUCGCUGACGAGCGGCGGACGGGUGAGUAAUGUAUGGGGAUCUGCCCGAUAGAGGGGGAUAACCACUGGAAACGGUGGCUAAUACCGCAUAAUCUCUUAGGAGCAAAGCAGGGGAACUUCGGUCCUUGCGCUAUCGGAUGAACCCAUAUGGGAUUAGCUAGUAGGUGGGGUAAUGGCUCACCUAGGCGACGAUCCCUAGCUGGUCUGAGAGGAUGAUCAGCCACACUGGGACUGAGACACGGCCCAGACUCCUACGGGAGGCAGUAGUGGGGAAUAUUGCACAAUGGGCGCAAGCCUGAUGCAGCCAUGCCGCGUGUAUGAAGAAGGCCCUAGGGUUGUAAAGUACUUUCAGUCGGGAGGAAGGCGUUGAUGCUAAUAUCAUCAACGAUUGACGUUACCGACAGAAGAAGCACCGGCUAACUCCGUGCCAGCAGCCGCGGUAAUACGGAGGGCGCAAGCGUUAAUCGGAAUUACUGGGCGUAAAGCGCACGCAGGCGGUUGAUUAAGUUAGAUGUGAAAUCCCCGGGCUUAACCUGGGAAUGGCAUCUAAGACUGGUCAGCUAGAGUCUUGUAGAGGGGGGUAGAAUUCCAUGUGUAGCGGUGAAAUGCGUAGAGAUGUGGAGGAAUACCGGUGGCGAAGGCGGCCC